rnacentral:rRNA from 1 species
UACGGGGGGGGCAAGCGUUGUUCGGAAUUACUGGGCGUAAAGGGCUCGUAGGCGGCCAACUAAGUCAGACGUGAAAUCCCUCGGCUUAACCGGGGAACUGCGUCUGAUACUGGACGGCUUGAAUUCGGGAGAGGGAUGCAGAAUUCCAGGUGUAGCGGUGAAAUGCGUAGAUAUCUGGAGGAAUACCGGUGGCGAAGGCGGCAUCCUGGACCGAUAUUGACACUGAUGAGCGAAAGCUAGGGGAGCAAACGGG